CACGGGGGGCCUACGGGAGGCAGCAGUGGGGAAUAUUGCGCAAUGGGCGAAAGCCUGACGCAGCGACGCCGCGUGAGGGAUGAAGGCCUUCGGGUCGUAAACCUCUGUCAGGAGGGAAGAACCGCCAUGGUGCUAAUCAGCCAUGGUCUGACGGUA
rnacentral:rRNA from 1 species